ensembl:ncRNA lncRNA:CR45679 long non-coding RNA:CR45679
UGCAUAAUUGGCCAUUUCUGUGUGCAGUUGCCGCACAUCGUUCUCAAUCUUAAUUAACAAAUAUACAAACGAAUAAAAGUGCGAGCGCCAAAAAGGGAGGAACUCUUGGCUGGCUGAAGUUCUGGAUCUGUACUAUGUGGAGGAUGAGGGAAAGACAAAAAAGCCCGCCACCAUGCGACAUAAAAUGCAAUUUACGACUUGUCAUAAAGGGAGACCCGCCAUAUAGUAAAUCAUUUUUUAUGUAGCCAAGAGUCGGGAGAGGACAUCGCGACCAUAAGUAGCUGGCCGGACUACUAAAAACGCGAAUAAGCCACGGUUAGGCCGAACAUAAAAUCCUUUAGCACCUUUCGAAUCCGAGUACCGACGAUGAGGACGUGGUCGAGGACGAGGACGAGGACGAAGGGAUUCGAAUGGAAUGGCUCACCGGCUAAACGCGAAAUUUACACAAUCAACAAAUGACAUAAAAUUGUUGCCAAAGUGGCGCAAGAAAAGGAAUAAAUUGCAUGACAAAUUCCCAAGGCUCGGGUCCAACACGAAUGAUGAACGAUGAUUAUAAGGCAAAAGGAAGCCAGCCAGAUAUAGACCCAAUUUCAGAGGGUUUCGGAAUGGAUGGAUGGAUGGCGGGAUGGAUGGAUGGAUGGGAAGAGGCAAAAGGACAGGAGCGAAACAACAUUUUAAGUCCUCGAAUUCCAACAUGUGGAGCAAUAAUAAUAAUUUUAUUGUUUUAACAAAGGCAGCAGAAAGUUGUUUGAGCCACAGCUGAGCGGCUUUUAAAAACAAAUCGCAAGGUGAGCACGGCCGGAGUCCCGGCUUCCUCAUGGAAACGGAGGAAACAGUGGCAACAGUGGAAACCGUGGAGGCACGAAGGCAUCCUGCGAAGCCAGGACCAGCAGGACCCCCAGGAUAAGUGCCAGGCAAGCGGAAAGAUACAGAGCAUACCCGUGCAUACAUAUAAAAGCGCUUUUUUGCCAACAACGCUGCAAAAUGUCUAAAAAAAAAAGAGCGUC